UAAAGUUUCCAGAUGUUGUGUUCCUGCAAUAAGAAAUAAAGAUGUGGCCUUCCAGUUGUGUAAAGCCCAUCAAUGCUGUGUAAGUGCAUCGGGUGCGCUAAGGAACGUGGAGCCAAGUGGGCUAGUUGUGAGAGAGAGAGACUUAACUAUGUUAACAAAGGUAUCCAAACACUGGCCAAGUUCUUAAAUUGAAAGUAGAGUGAUCUAACUUAUUCAGCUCAUCCAACCAUCAAUAUUGAAUAUUUGUCUUUUUUCUUACACAUAUUUCUUGUAUUCCAGUUGUGACAUUCUAGAGCACAUGUGAGAAAAUCUAGUACUUUGUGUUCAACUCAGACUACCAAACCAGAAGUUCUAGCAGAAAAGGUGAUAAUCCAUAUGUGCAAUAAGAUCCCCAGGUGAUUCUUUUCAUUGGAGAAAUAUGAGGAACACUGCUUGACGUCUCUACAACUAAGAUGUCUAAAAUGAAACUUCAAUUAUUCCUUCUUCCAAACUUUUCCAUCCUGCAAAUCUUUUCUUCCUCAGUGAAUGGUGCCAUGAUUCACACAAAAAGUAACUCCAUGCAAAAACCUGGGAAUGAUCCUCAGUUCCUUCCUUUUGUUCACUUUCUGCAUAGACUGCAUCAU